UUUCCGGUUGAUCCUGCCGGACCCCACUGCUAUCGGGAUAGGACUAAGACAUGCUAGUCGAGCGCCUCUAAGCCACGAAAGAGGCGCGGCACACAGCUCAGUAACACGUGGCUAACCUGCCCUCGGGACGGGAAUACCCCCGGGAAACUGGGGCUAAUUCCCGAUAGGCGAAGAACUCUGGAAUGAGUCUCCACUGAAAAGACGCUAAAGUCAUGCUCUUUGGCGUCACCCAAGGAUGGGGCCGCGACCGAUCAGGUAGUUGGUGAGGUAAUGGCUCACCAAGCCUUUUACCGGUGCGGGCCGUGGGAGCGGGAGCCCGGAGAUGGGCACUGAGACAAGGGCCCAGGCCCUACGGGGCGCAGCAGUCGCGAAAACUUUGCAAUACACGAAAGUGUGACAGGGCUAUCCCGAGUGCCAUCCGCUGAGGAAGGCUUUUACCCAGUAUAGAAAGCUGGGGGAAUAAGGAGAGGGCAAGUCUGGUGUCAGCCGCCGCGGUAAUACCAGCUCUCCGAGUGGUGUGGAUGUUUAUUGGGCCUAAAGCAUCCGUAGCUGGCUGGACAAGUCCCCUGUUAAAUCCACCGAAUUAAUCGUUGGAUUGCGGGGGAUACUGUUCGGCUAGGGGACGGGAGAGGCCGACGGUAUUCUCGGGGUAGGGGUGAAAUCCUAUAAUCCCGGGAAGACCACCAGUGGCGAAGGCUGUCGGCUAGAACGCGCCCGACGGUGAGGGAUGAAAGCUGGGGGAGCGAACCGGAUUAGAUACCCGGGUAGUCUCAGCUGUAAACGAUGCAGGCUAGGUGUUUGGGCGGCCACGUGCCGCUCUAGUGCCGCAGGGAAGCUGUUAAGCCUGCCGCCUGGGGAGUACGGCCGCAAGGCUGAAACUUAAAGGAAUUGGCGGGGGAGCACCACAAGGGGUGAAGCUUGCGGUUUAAUUGGAGUCAACGCCGGG
rnacentral:rRNA from 1 species